rnacentral:lncRNA from 1 species
UGAGUUCUGUCCCUUUGGUCUGCUCUCAGAAAAUGAACCACCACCAGUGGGUGGUUCAUAACCCUUCCUAAAAUUCCUACUCCCAGUAUAGAGCAUCAUGAACUCAGGUGAAAUCCGUCUUCCUACAAUAAUCCAAGUUAUCUUCACAUAUAUCUGGUCUGUUACUACAGAUGUUUGUGACCACCUUAAAUUGGAAUUAGCCCUCAGAUUUUACUUUGUUAAAUCACCAAUUUCAGCUGGUUCCUGGAAAAAUUGUUUAAACAAUUGAAACAUUUUAAAAUGACUUUCCAUUCACACUUUCUUGAAUGUUAUGACUCCUGAUUAGAAGGGAGAGUCAGAAUCACAGUCACAGAAAACUGGAAAAUUGUUAUCUCUUCUUCUAGGUGAGAUACUGCAUGCAAAGUUCAAUUUGUUCUCAAAGGCUUUGGGAAGAGACUGAACUUGGUAGGCCCAGGCUGUGAAUUUCAUGCCAAUAAUACAAGCUUGUACUGCAAAAAUUUCUGCUUAUUACAAGCUAAUCCCACUGAAAUAUAUAAACAUAAAGCAGUAGAUUAUUUUUAGUAGCAUUCAGUUCCUUCUCUAAAGUUGGCUACAGAGGCAGAGCAAAGUGGCAAAGACAGUGAGAGGAUUAUUUGUGGCUGUGAAAUUUGUUGGACUCUCCAGUAGAGCUCUGAGAACACCUUAAUAUUUAUGUGUUGCACCCAUAACUUGCACAAGCAGAGUACACACAGCCUCUUCAAAACACUAUAGGAUCCUGCAAAGAAGAACUUUAGCAGAAUUUUAGCUAACUAGAAAAGGUCAAACUUCUCUCAAGCAGGAAUGUAGUCAGUCCUAGCAGUGGAGCAUACCAUAUUUAGGGGAAAAAAAACCAACAAAACAAACAAAAACAAACAAAACAAACAAACAAACAAACAAAAAAACCAAAAAAAAAAACCAACCCCACCCCAGUUGUCUUAUAAGACUUUGCUGGAAAAUACUUGUGUCAUUAAUCUCUGGGCUUUAAAGAAAAUGAAGUUUAAAAAGUAAAGGGAUGAAGAUGGCCAUGCUUUUCAAUGAAAUAAGGAUGGAUGCUAAAGGUGCAUGAUUUGGUUUAGGGUAAUCCCAAGGGUAGGUGAGAAUAUAUCCAAAAUAUCUCAAGAUACCUAUCAGACAAUGUCCAUAUAUUUUGUAUUAUUUAUCCCUAACUAUAUUUCUACAAAUUUAAGCAGUCAUUUCAUGUUCUAUAAAAUUCAAAGUAUGCCAUGGAAUGCGUAGAUAAUGCGUAGGACAUGAAAUGCAGAUAACUGCUGGUGCUGCUUGGUCUGACAUUUCUGUUCCAGCACUGAACCCUAACAUCCUGGUAAUAAUGGGACACACUGAAUACCAGAUAAAAGGCACUGAUGCUAAUUAAAUCCCAAAAUCAAGAUAACUCUUACCUCUUUUACAAUGAAGACUUUUGCAAGAACAAAACUUUGCAAAAAGAACUCUAGUUUAUAACAUAUCCAAAAGACAAUGAGCAUAAACACUUUACAAAUAUUUUUCACAGUGAUUUGCUUCACUGACAUAAGUUAUUAAUUACACCCUACACUUGUCAGUGCCUCAGAUUUGAAAUGCAGAGAUGUUAUAACAGGUGUGCAAAAAAAAACACAUACUAGAGAAAGAGUUUGUCAAGAGAGUGGUGAAGGUUAUUCCUGAGCCAUGCAUAGGUCAGCUUGUGAAUAUAUAAUAAAAUUAAUUACUUAAGUCAUAAUAGAAACUGCAUGCAACUACUGCCAGCCCUGUCUUCAGCUGAGACUCAGCCUGUACCUGGAAGAAUUUUUCACCUUGACCAAACAGGCUGAGUUCCCUUUCUGCAUUGGAUUGCUGUUCCUUCAGGGUCAUACACAGUAUGGUGGAAUUGCCCUGGUGCAGAAAAUAAGUAACUGAAAAAGAACUAAGAAUAAAGAAGUGGUUUAUUUUGUUUAGUUUGUUAAAUCCAAGCAAGAAGGAAUAUGAACUUGUAAAAUCAUGGCGCAGAAGAGAAUUCUUUAAAAUGUAAAUAUUUGAGGCAAUGAAAAAUAAUUACCACUUUUUACUAAAGAUUCACUGAGGUUUGGAAAUUUUCUUUCACUAUAGCUCCAUUAUUAGAUUUGGGUUUUUGGAGUUUAGUUUUUUAUUUUUCAGUUGAAUAAAUUUAGCAAUAAAUUAUCUCUUAGUCCCUCCUGCGAAGAAGAUGGAAAUGUCAAGCCAAAAACUUCUUUUCCAGUAUUCAAAUAAUGGCUUUAACAUGACUAUCAGUGCUUAACUUGUUGUACUUAACUUUGAAGGGACUGUGGCCAAACUGAUCCAGCAGAUAAAACAGAAACUGCAAGGUGAAUUUAGAAGGUGAGUAAAACAGAAUUAAUACUAAAACUUGUCAUUCUUCUUCUUUUUAUUGCAAUUAUUUUUAAUGUAAUUUUAUGGCUAACUUGCUUUCAGUUGAGCAUUUUUUUUGCUUUUUUUCCAGAUGUUAUGAUAUUUUGAUGUGACUUCACCUCUGUCACUGAUUUUACCCCUCUCUGGCAAGCCCAUAGUGUCUAUUUUUAGCUCCAUGAGCUUACUAAUCCAGUUUCUCUGACAACUGCAAUUUGUUGGAAGAAAUGACUAGUGUUACGUUUUCUCAGAGCUAUGAGCCCAUUUGAGAAAUCAGCUUCUUAGCUGACCUUUAAAGCAAGUGAGAAUAAUGUGGCUGCAAUUCCACAGGGUUUGGAUUUCAUUAUCACAGCAGUGCGUAUGAGAUGGGCUGGCCCUGCUGCACAGCUCUGCCUCUGUUUUGUUUUCCUGGUAAUUAUAGAAACUGUUUAUUGUACAUGGAAAAUCUGCAAGUUUUCUCAGCUCUUGAGGACAAUACUAUUUCUAAUCCUUUUCUCUGGAGGGUAACAGUUCACAGUGUGGAGGACUGCAUACUAUUGAUUCUUCUCAAGAGGAACUUUCCCACGGACCAUGAGUGCGGUGAAAAUCACCAAAGAUGUCUAAGGAUCAAAAUGGCAACUGCAAACAGAAGAGACACAUAUGGGAGCAGUGUAGCAGAGUGGCAGCCCUGGUUCUUCCCACUCCUCUCUGGUUCAGAGCCUGAAACAAAUUCCUGCCGGAGAAUCUGGGUACUCCAAGGGCAUCACAACACAAGUAUGGCUCAGGAGGGUCAGACAGAAGCUUUAGUAACUAUGAUCAGAGUGAGAGAAUGUCCAGCCAGCACCUCACCCUCUGCUCCCCUUUCUUUAAAAAAAAAAAAUUGGCAAUGAAAACUUAUCAUUUCAAAAAUAUAUAAAUUUCUGGGAUGCAUGGAUUUAUUAAGCAGCUAUUCCAAGAAGGAAUUGAGCAAUAAACAACAUGAUGGUUUGGAGAGAUGGCUCUUGGUGAAUACAUCAGAUAAUACACUAGUGCUAUCUUAGAGCAAAAUUGGGGAGAUAACAACAAUCACAGAUGUUCUUACAACUAGAAUAAACCCCCUAGCCAGACUUCUAAAAUCUUAUAUAUUAAUAAUUUUACUGUCACGUCCCUUUGAAUCUCUGGCUGAAGCCUGGCCCUUGUCCCAGUGUCUUUGUCUCCAUAUGUAUUUGAAGUUCUAUUCUUUACAUCUUCUCAUUCUUAAUCAGCAGUGGAAUUUAUCUCACCUACAGAAUGGCAGCUAAUCUGAACCAGUCCUCCACCUCCACACAGUAGUCACUGGGGAGGAAAAAGAAGAGAAUAGCUAAGGUAGUGGUUUGUCUCAUCCCUAAGACCUUCUCCGGGACAGCUCAAUCUUUGAAAUGCCAGGAUGUCUGCACUGACUGUAAAGGGAAGUGACCUGACUAGCUCAGACCAGACAUAAGUUUUAGAUGCUUAAAUGCAGAUCAGCUGAAUUUCACUCAUAUUUAUAGCAACUCCCCAAACCCUUGGUGCUCUAGAGGACCCCAGUGCAACUUGGGUACAGUGAGACAUAAGAAUAAUAAGGAAUAUUCUAGCAUCAAAGACAUUAAUGUCUGCAACUUAGUGAUGUCCUGAUUUUCAGCAAGUAUAAAUGUCAUGUAUUAGGAUGGGAGUUCUGUCUAGAAUGGGUUUGGUUUAGACUUCAGUAAAAGGCACAAUACUGUCCUGACAGUGAGCAUAUUUAAAGCUUGGCUUUGGGAUGCUCUGUAUCUCUUACUAAGCUCUGAACAACUGAGUUAAAUUUUGGCCUUACCCAACACGAUCUGCGUGACAUUUCUGCAGAAGCUACUGGGUUAAAUACUACUUCCUUGGAAAUUUUCUACAGACAACUCUUGGUUGAAUGUGCAUUUGAUAACUCCAUAUAUAAGACUGUUUCUGAAGAAGGAGUGUCAACUGCAGAUUAUCUCAUAGACUUUGUAUCUCUUUAUUAUGUUAGAACAAAUUUUCCAAGCUUUCCUUCUGGUUAGGUAUUUCUAAACAAUAUUCACUUACAGAGCAAAGUAAUUAAAAAAAAAAAAAAAAAAA